rnacentral:lncRNA from 1 species
UGUCAUGUUAGCAAUCCAUCCUAGUUGUUGCUAUUAGAUUCCCCCGCUUCCUAAGUUUCUAACUGAGAUGUUCGUCUCUGUCACGUAUGGAACCUCUCCCAUUAGGUGCACUGUUUACAAUGGGGGUUUCCUGUGAAAUGUCUGGGUCCAGGCCACUGUUUAGAAUGGUGUUUUCCUGUGAAAUGUCUGGGUCCAGGCCACUGUUUAGAAUGGUGUUUUCCUGUGAAAUGUCUGGGUCCAGGCCACUGUUUAGAAUGGUGUUUUCCUGUGAAAUGUCUUGGUCCAGGCCACUGUUUAGAAUAGAAUGGUGUUUUCCUGUGAAAUGUCUGGGUCCAGGCCACUGUUUACAAUGGUGUUUUCCUGUGAAAUGUCUUGGUCCAGGCCACUGUUUAGAAUGGUGUUUUCCUGUGAAAUGUCUUGGUCCAGGCCACUGUUUAGAAUGGUGUUUUCCUGUGAAAUGUCU